GCGCCUGUAGCUCAACCGGAUAGAGCAUCGGACUUCUAAUCCGAGGGUUCCGAGUUCAAGUCUCGGCAGGCGUACCA
rnacentral:tRNA from 1 species